rnacentral:rRNA from 2 species
UACGGAGGAUCCGAGCGUUAUCCGGAAUCAUUGGGUUUAAAGGGUCCGUAGGUGGACGGUUAAGUCAGGGGUGAAAGUCUGCAGCUCAACUGUAGAAUUGCCCUUGAUACUGGCUGUCUUGAGUUACUAUGAAGUGGUUAGAAUAUGUGGUGUAGCGGUGAAAUGCAUAGAUAUCACAUAGAAUACCAAUUGCGAAGGCAGAUCACUAAUAGUACACUGACACUGAUGGACGAAAGCGUGGGGAGCGAACAGG